rnacentral:tRNA from 1 species
CCUUCGAUAGCUCAGUUGGUAGAGCGGAGGACUGUAGUGGAUAGCAGCUUAUCCUUAGGUCGCUGGUUCAAAUCCGGCUCGAAGGA